rnacentral:rRNA from 1 species
CACGUAGGGUGCGAGCGUUGUCCGGAAUUAUUGGGCGUAAAGAGCUCGUAGGCGGUGUGUCGCGUCGGCCGUGAAAACUUGGGGCUUAACUCUGAGCGUGCGGUCGAUACGGGCAUCACUUGAGUUCGGCAGGGGAGACUGGAAUUCCUGGUGUAGCGGUGGAAUGCGCAGAUAUCAGGAGGAACACCGGUGGCGAAGGCGGGUCUCUGGGCAGUAACUGACGCUGAGGAGCGAAAGCGUGGGGAGCGAACAGG